CGCGGACCGGCGCAUGCGCGGGGGGCGCUGCGCAGCGAGCGGUGGGCGAGAUGAAGCAAGUAUUCAGUCUAUUAGAAAAAGCUUGGUCUGGUUCUUCUGUGCAAUUUGCUUGGCAGAAAACUUUGGGAAAUUUCCUUGCUGUAACAGGAGGUGAUCAUGCUGUGAAAAUUUUUGAUCGUCAUGGUCAGAAGAGAAAUGAAAUCAGCUUACCAGGUAACUGUGUUGCUAUGGACUGGGACAAGGAUGGAGAUACUUUAGCAAUAAUCACAGACAAAUCUAGUGCCAUAUUUCUGUGGGAUGCAAACACAAACAAAACAAGCCAAGUAGACAGUGGCAUGAGGGAUGCGAUGUCUUUCUUACUGUGGUCUCGAGUUGGAACUUUACUUGCUGUUGGAACCUCAAAGGGAAACUUACUUAUAUAUAACCGACAGACUUCCCGCAAGAUUCCUGUUCUUGGUAAGCACACCAAGCGGAUUACUUGUGGUUGCUGGAGUACUGAAAACCUUCUGGCUUUAGGUGGUGAAGACAAAAUGAUUACUAUAAGCAAUCAGGAAGGGGAUACUAUAAGACAGACCUCAGUGAGCUCAGAUCCCAGUGAUAUGCAGUUCUCAGUUAUGAAGACUGAUGAAAGAAUAUCAACCAGGGAAAGCACAGUGAGUGUAGUGGUCGGCAAGAAGACUCUCUUUCUUUUUAAUUUGAAUGAUCCCGAUAACCCGAUUGAUCUGAAAUUUCAGCAGGCUUAUGGCAGUAUUGUAACAUACCGAUGGUAUGGUGAUGGCUACAUUAUGAUUGGUUUCUCACGAGGGUGUUUUGUAGUAAUCUCUACACACAUUCGUGAGAUAGGUCAAGAAAUCUUUCAAGCUCAUAAUCAUAAGGAUAAUCUAAGCAGCAUUGCUAUAUCACAGUCAUUAAACAAAGCUGCAUCAUGUGGAGACAGUUGCAUUAAAAUCCAUGACCUGUCAGACCUGAGAGAAAUGUAUGCCAUAAUAAACUUGGAUGAUGAAAACAAAGGUGUAGACAAGCUGGCUUGGACAGAUGAUGGACAGUUGUUGGCAGUAUCUUCACGAAGAGGAUCCCUCCAUGUUUUUUUGACAAAGCUUCCAAUCCUUGGAGAUGCUUGCAGUACACGGAUUGCAUACCUCACUUCCCUUCUUGAAGUUACUAUAGCAAAUCAUGUGGAGAGAGAGCUGCCAGUCACAGUGUCUGUUGAAGUAGAGCCAAGUUUUGUGGCUAUCGGUGUUUAUCAUUUGGCUGUAGGAAUGAACAAUCGGGCUUGGUUUUAUGCACUUGGAGAGAAUAAUGUAAAAAAGCUGAAAGAUGUGGAGUACCUGGGGACUGUAGCAAGUAUGCACCUUAAUUCCGAUUAUGCUGCUGCUCUCUUUGAGGGUAAAGUCCAGUUGCAUAUGAUAGAAAGUGAAGGUUUGGAUGCUCAAGAAGAACGAGAAACUCGACUCUUCCCAGCAGAUGAUGAUAAAUACCGAAUUUUGUGCCAUGCUUUAACUAGUGACUUCCUCAUAUAUGGUACAGAUACUGGAGUUAUUAAUUAUUUCUACAUUGAAGACUGGCAAUAUGUGAAUGAAUAUCGGCAUCCUGUCAGCGUGAGAAAAGUUUUUCCAGAUCCCAAUGGAACCAGAUUGGCUUUCAUAGAUGACAAAAGUGAUGGCUUUGUCUAUUGCCCAGUAAAUGACAGAUUAUAUGAGAUUCCAGACUUCUCACCAACUAUUAAAGGAAUCCUGUGGGAAAACUGGCCAAUGGAUAAAGGUGUUUUUGUUGCUUUUGACGACGAUAAAGCAUACACUUAUGUUUUUUAUAAGGAUGCCAUUCAAGGGUCAAAGAUUAUUUUGGCAGGUGGCACAGAAGUCCCCUUUUCCCACAAACCUUUGUUGCUGUAUAAUGGAGAAUUAACUUGUCAGACUCAGAGUGGGAAAACAAACAAUAUCUAUCUGAGCACUCACAGGUUCCUUGGCAAUUUGAAAGACUUUGGACCUAAUGAGCUGACACAAAUGCUUACUCAGACUUUAACGUUGAAAAGGUUUUCUGAAGCAUGGGAGUUGUGCAAACUUCUGAAUGACCAGUCUGGGUGGAAUGAGCUGGCCAAAGCUUGCUUACAUCAUAUGGAGGUGGAUUUUGCAAUACGUGUGUAUCGGACAUUUGGUAAUGCUGGGAUGGUGAUGUCACUAGAGCAAAUAAAGGGAAUAGAAGACCACAACCUUUUAGCAGGACAUCUUGCCAUGUUUACUGGUGAUUUUAAUCUGGCUCAGGAUUUAUAUCUGGCAUCCUCCUGUCCUGGUGCUGCACUUGAGAUGCGAAAAGACUUGCAACACUGGGACAGUGCACUUCAGCUGGCUAAGCGUUUGGCUCCAGACCAAAUCCCUUUCAUAUCAAAGGAAUAUGCAGUGCAGCUUGAAUUCACGGGUGAUUAUGUUAACGCCCUGGCACACUAUGAGAAGGGAAUCACUGGAAAUAACAAGUACCAGGAACAUGAUGAAGCUUGCCUUGCUGGAGUAGCUCAAAUGUCCAUUCGAAUGGGAGAUAUCCGUCGAGGGGUAAACCAGGCCAUUAAACAUCCCAGUAGGUUACUAAAAAGAGACUGUGGAGCUAUUCUGGAGAAUAUGAAGCAAUUUUCAGAAGCUGCUCAGCUGUAUGAAAAGGGACAAUAUUAUGACAAGGCAGCAUCAGUGUACAUCCGAUGUAAAAACUGGGCAAAGGUUGGUGAACUUCUUCCUCAUGUUUCAUCUCCAAAGAUUCACCUACAAUAUGCAAAGGCCAAGGAAGCAGAUGGCAGGUACAACGAAGCUGUGAUAGCUUAUGAGCAUGCAAAACAAUGGGAGAGUGUAAUUCGCCUGUAUUUGGAUCACCUUAAUAAUCCUGAGAAGGCUGUUAAUAUUGUGAGAGAAACACAGUCUCUUGAUGGAGCAAAGAUGGUGGCCAGAUUCUUCCUCCAGCUUGGUGACUAUGGUUCUGCCAUCCAGUUCUUGGUCAUGUCCAAGUGCAAUAAUGAAGCUUUCACAUUAGCUCAACAACACAACAAGAUGGAGAUUUAUGCUGAUAUCAUCAGUUCUGAAAGUACUACCAAUGAAGAUUAUCAGAGCAUCGCACUAUAUUUUGAAGAAGAAAAGAAACAUUUUCAGGCGGGAAAAUUUUUCUUGCUGUGUGGUCAAUAUGGACGGGCAUUAAAACAUUUUAUGAAAAGUCCAAGCACAGAAGAUAACUUGGCUAUAGAAAUGGCAAUUGAAACAGUGGGACGGGCAAAAGAUGAAGCCCUAACAAAUCAGCUCAUAGACUAUCUUAUGGGAGAGAGUGAUGGCAUGCCCAAGGAUGCCAAGUACCUAUUCCACUUAUACAUGGCACUGAAGCAAUACAAGGAGGCUGCCAGAACUGCUAUAAUAAUUGCCAGGGAGGAGCAGUGUUCAGUGGAACAAUGCAUUGGUACAGCAUCUUCUAUUUUUGAAGGUUCAUUAUAUGGAAUGGUCAUCCACAUACGUAUUUUCCUAAUGUUUAGCUAAAUUCUGAAACUACCGAAACGCACAUGAUGUUCUCUUCAGCAUGUAUUCAGAGUUAAAGACACAGAAGAUUAAAAUCCCUUCUGAGAUGGCUACAAACCUUAUGAUUCUACACAGCUACAUGUUAGCAAAGACUCACAUCAAACGUGGUGAUCACAUGAAGGGAGCACGUAUGCUUAUACGUGUAGCCAACAACAUCAGCAAGUUCCCAUCACAUAUUGUACAAAUUUUGACUUCAGUUGUAAUCGAGUGUCACAGAGCAGGACUGAAGAACUCAGCCUUCAGUUUUGCUGCUAUGCUGAUGAGACCGGAGUAUCGCAAUAAAAUAGACCUUAAAUACAAAAAGAAAAUUGAAGCAGUGGUCAGACAUCCAAGCACAACAGCGACAGAAGAGCCAACAACAGCCUGUCCCUACUGUGCAUUCCAGCUCCCAGAGUGUGAACUUCUGUGUCCCAGCUGCAAGAACAAUCUCCCAUACUGUAUUGCAACUGGUCGCCACAUGGUCCGAGAUGACUGGACAGUGUGCCCGCACUGUCACUUCCCUGCCCUCUAUUCAGAAUUCAAAAACAUGUUAGAGACUGAAAACACAUGUCCAAUGUGUUCUGAAAGGAUUGAUGUUGCUCAUCUUAAGAAAAUAAAUGAUUGUACACAGUACCUCACACCAGAAGAUGGGGACCAAUAAAUUCAGAACUACAUGUGUUGUCUGGCAAGCAACAAGGAAAGCUCCAUCACUGCAUCACACAUCUCUUCCCUACUAGAAUUUAGUAGCAACCACAUGUCACUUUAUUUUGUGAUAGCCUGUAAAUAUUUAGCUUUUGAUAAAUUUUGUACUUUGAUUUGUUAUAGUAAUAAAAUUGAUAAUAAUUCUUACCAAGCCAAAUUUGCAUUUUAUCUGCACCAGAGACAAACCAAGGAGCAUUCUGUGGUAUGUGAGUGGCAAAACCCCCAAGUGUUCUCUCUUCAACAUCAGCUCUGAACUGAACUUUUAUGACUAUUUUCUAUUAAACAUUUCUUACUUUAA